AGACCGAUAGCGAACAAGUAGAGUGAUCGAAAGGUUAAAAGCACCUUGAAAAGGGAGUUAAACAGCACGUGAAAUUGUUGAAAGGGAAGCGCUUGCGGCCAGACUCGAGGGGCGGGGUUCAGCGGGUGCGCGUCACCCGUGCACUCCCCGUCCCCUCGGGCCAGCAUCAGUUUCGACGGCCGGUCAAAGGCCCCCGGAAUGUGUCGUCUCUAGGGACGUCUUAUAGCCGGGGGUGCAAUGCGGCCCGCCGGGACUGAGGAACGCGCUCCGGCUCGGAUGCUGGCGUAAUGGCCGUAAGCGGCCCGUCUUGAAACACGGAC
rnacentral:rRNA from 1 species